CUACGGGUGGCUGCAGUGGGGAAUAUUGGACAAUGGGGGAAACCCUGAUCCAGCAAUGCCGCGUGUGUGAAGAAGGCCUGCGGGUUGUAAAGCACUUUCGGUUGGGAGGACUGCUUCUAGCACUAAUAUUGUUGGAAGUUGACGUUACCUUCAGAAGAAGCACCGGCUAACUCCGUGCCAGCAGCCGCGGUAAUAGCGGAGGGUGCAAGCGUUAAUCGGAAUUACUGGGCGUAAAGCGCGCGUAGGCGGCUAGGUCAGUCGGGUGUGAAAGCCCCGGGCUUAACCUGGGAACUGCAUCCGAUACUGUCUAGCUUGAGUAAAGGAGAGGGGAGUGGAAUUCCACAUGUAGCGGUGAAAUGCGUAGAUAUGUGGAGGAACACCAAUGGCGAAGGCAGCUCUCUGGCCUGAUACUGACGCUGAGGUGCGAAAGCGUGGGGAGCAAACAGGAUUAGAUACCCUAGUAGUC
rnacentral:rRNA from 1 species